CUGCGCCCGGCCGGGUAACAGGCUCAGCCAAUCGCUCCGUUACGACUUGUUAGCUGAAAGUCCUUUGCAAGUCCCAUAUGAAUCUGCCAAGAAGUCUGGCCACUCAAAACAUGAAUUUUCCAGAUAAUUUGCUGAAAAGGGGAGUAAAAAGGAAGAAGGCCCAUCUCUAAUGACCCUGAUGACAAAACCAUUUGUCUGCAAGGACUUCUCACAGAUGACACAAGAAUUUAGUGUUUACCCAAAUGUCUUUGGGUCAGAUCUUUACAUAAAACAAACUGGAAUAUACCUUUAUGUAGCUCAAUCUUUUUCAACUGAUGCUUCAGAAAUUUUCUAUGAAGAGCCUCCACUUAAAAAAAGAAAGUAGUGAUGCUACCACAGUCCAUGCCAAAAUGUACCAAUAGGAUACAGGCUGGAAUCUUCAGCAAGUGGAAGUCAGUCUAUCUCCAAGAUUUAAAUAUUUAUAUAGGCCCUAGCUGGCAUGAACAGCAUAUGCAUUUCAGCAAGGACAAAGGAAGAGUUCAUCAUUCCUUUACAAGGACUCCCAGCCAGGUCUUCCCUAGAAUCCAGCAUCUUGAAAGGCACAAGUGUAAUGAUGAUUUUCUUGGAGAAGUGAGAAAGCUUGGAA
rnacentral:lncRNA from 1 species